UGCAUCUUACUAAACGUUUUUGUUUUAGAAUUAUAAAUUAUCGAAAAAAAUGAACACAACGUCAGCAAUUUUAGUCGCUCUAUUAGUAAUCGUAGCAUCACAUUCACGUGUAAAUGUGAGCGCAGCCGCAGCCCCUGGGGAACUUGAUGCUCCAUGCAAAGGAUGGAUUGGUGGGUCAGCACCAUUUACAUUUUGCAGUGAUAAAUUGUGUGAUUUGCCAGCCAUGUUCUUUAUAUCUCGCUGCAAUGGAGGUUUGAACUGUUGUAUAGGACCCGGUUCAAUAAC